rnacentral:rRNA from 1 species
GGGCCCGCACAAGCGGUGGAGUAUGUGGUUUAAUUCGAUGCAACGCGAAGAACCUUACCAGGGUUUGACAUCCUGCGAAUCUCUUGGAAACGAGAGAGUGCCUUCGGGAACGCAGUGACAGGUGGUGCAUGGCUGUCGUCAGCUCGUGUCGUGAGAUGUUGGGUUAAGUCCCGCAACGAGCGCAACCCUUGUCCUUAGUUGCCAGCAUUUAGUUGGGGGACUCGUAGGAGACUGCCGGGGUCAACUCGGAGGAAGGUGGGGAUGACGUCAAGUCAUCAUGCCCCUUAUGCCCAGGGCUGCAAACACGCUACAAUGGCUGGUACAGAGGGCUGCGAACCCCGCGAGGGCAAGCG